UUCAACAACUGGACUGGAGGCUCUUGGU
rnacentral:piRNA from 1 species